AAACAUGUCUUUUUGAAUUGUAUUUAAAGUCUAACCUGCCCACUGAUAAAUUUUAAAUGGCCGCAGUAUUUUGACUGUGCAAAGGUAGCAUAAUCAUUAGUCUUUUAAUUGAAGGCUGGAAUGAACGGUUGGACGAAGUAUAAGCUGUUUCAUAUAAAUUUAUUAUAGAAAUUUAUAUUUUAGUUAAAAAGCUAAAAUUUUAUUAAAAGACGAGAAGACCCUAUAAAUCUUUAUAAUUACUGUUGUUUAAAUUUUUUAGAUUUGUUUUAUUUUUAUAAGAGUAAUUAUUUUGUUGGGGUGAUAUUAAAAUUUAAUUAACUUUUAAUUUACUGAGAAUCAUUAAUUUMUGAUUUGUUGAUCCAAUAGUAUUGAUUAUAAGAUUAAGUUACUUUAGGGAUAACAGCGUAAUUUUUUUUGAGAGUUCAUAUCGACAAAAAAGUUUGCGACCUCGAUGUUGGAUUAAGGAAUAAUUUUGGGUGUAGCAGUUCAAAUAUUAAGUCUGUUCGACUUUUAAAUCCUUACAUGAUC
rnacentral:rRNA from 1 species